rnacentral:rRNA from 1 species
GACGAACGCUGGCGGCGUGCUUAACACAUGCAAGUCGAGCGGUAAGGCCCUUUCGGGGGUACACGAGCGGCGAACGGGUGAGUAACACGUGGGUGACCUGCCCUUAGCUCUGGGAUAAGCCUGGGAAACUGGGUCUAAUACCGGAUAUGACUCCAUAACGCAUGUUGUGGGGUGGAAAGCCUUGUGCGGCUAGGGAUGGGCCCGCGGCCUAUCAGCUUGUUGGUGGGGUGAUGGCCACCAAGGCGACGACGGGUAGCCGGCCUGAGAGGGCGACCGGCCACACUGGGACUGAGACACGGCCCAGACUCCUACGGGAGGCAGCAGUGGGGAAUCUUGCGCAAUGGCGAAAGCCUGACGCAGCGACGCCGCGUGGGGA